AGGAAGGAAGGGUUAAAGUGGGAUGGGCUCCAGUUCCGGCUCUCGGUCGCACAGCCAGGGGACCGCCACACAUCCCCAGAGCCGUGCUCUCCCAGGGCGCCCCUGGGGAGCGGAAGCAGCGCGUCGUCCCAACCCCCGGGGGAGGGCGCUCUUCCUCGGAGCCUGGAGCGCCGGGGCGGAGAGCUAGAAGCAGGGCUCUGGCUCUGAACCCCUGGAGACCCGCGCUCGCCUGCCAGCCCCGCCCGCCUAAAGCCGCCCUCAGAGGCCGACAGCGCAGCAGGCCCUGCGCAGGGCGACCCGAAGGGGGACGUACCCAUUCGGAUAUGCACACUGGCAGAGGCCACGCAGCUGCCAUAGUUGAAGUCGUCCUCGAUAGAGGAGCAGGGGUACCGGGGGUCGGGGUCCGCCAUGUCGGUAGCAGAAGCCCAGCCACCCCGCCCAGCGAGGCCCAGGACCCGGACUCAACGGCCUACAACCCACUUCCGGGAUGAAGCAAUCCAGCCCCAACUAGCCGAGCCGCCGCGCUCAUCGAUGAGCAGCAGAUCUUAAUCGAUGCGCUCACCUCAGCGCUUCAGUUAGGCUGGGAAAAGGGAGGUUGCUUCAAGCUGGGGUCGGAGAGAAAAUGAAUUUCAUUUUCCGCGAAUUACUUUUCUUAGAGUUUUCUCAACAAGCAUUUUAAAUCCUCUGGCCCGGAGCUGAAAGUUACAGAAGCGAAGUCCCAUCCAUCCAUCCUUUCAAGAAAUACCCGUCUUAUUUACAUAUUCCUUCAAUAGUCUACACGGGAGAUACACUUUUAAUUAUAUUAUUUUUAAGAUUAAUAAUAAUCCCUGAGUGUCUUGAGCACUUUCUCUAAAGGCUUUCGGAAUUAAAUAAUGCUUAAUCCUGGAAGACAAGCACCAACCAGAGAAGCGUGGAGUGAUGCAGGUUUGGAACAAUGAAACAAACCCAGUAGGGAACAAGUGGAACUAUGACCGCCGCGACAGGCCAGAAGAUGUGGGUGAUUAAUCAGCAGGUGUUUUUAGAAUGCGUUCUCUGAAAACCAAUGAUGUGACACCAUUUCUUGACCUUCAGUGCAACAGAUUUGUCAUGGACUGAAUGUGUGUCCCCCUUCCCCAAGGUCUAACUCCCAUUGUAGCUGGAUUUGGAGAAGGGGCUUGUAAGGAAUUAAUUAAGAUUAAAUGAAGUCAUAAGGUAGGGCCCAGAUCAGAUAGGAUCAAUGCCCUUAUAAGAGGAGACACCAGAAUGGUGGCCUGCAUGCUCCCACAUUCUCCCUCCCUCCCUCUGAAUGUGUGUGUGUGUGUGUGUGUGUGUGUGUGUGUGUGUACGCACACACACACAGGAAAAGCCAUCUACCAGCCAGAAGAGAUUCACCAGAAAUCAAACCCUGUGGACACCUUGAUCUUGGGAUUUGUAGUCUCCAGAGCUGUGAAAAGAUAAAUUUCCCUUAUUUAAACCA